rnacentral:rRNA from 1 species
UACGUAGGGUGCGAGCGUUGUCCGGAAUUAUUGGGCGUAAAGGGCUCGUAGGCGGUUUGUCGCGUCGGGGAGUGAAAACCCAGGGCUUAACCCUGGGCUGGACUUCCCGGAUACGGGCAGGACUAGAGGUAUGCAGGGGAGAACGGAAUUCCUGGUGUAGCGGUGAAAUGCGCAGGAUAGUCAAGGAGGAACACCGGUGGC